rnacentral:lncRNA from 1 species
GGGAAUGAGACAGUUCUAUUCUAGGGAGCAAACUAGGUAAAAAUUUCUGUAUUGAGGGUGGGGGUGCACUAUGUAAUAAAGUUUCUUUUUACAUAAUCUUUUUUAACCUUUUUUUCACUAGAUUCGUGUCCGUACGUUGCUACGUGAUAGCUAAACUUUCGUAUUAAAAAACAUACGGAUCACAUGAUAAUAAUACUAUGAAAUUAUAUACCGACAUUUUAUUCAAUAUCAGACAAAUCAUACUUUACACAAAUCCAACUAUAAGAACAUGGCUAAAUGCCUAGAGCGUGAAGCUUGCAUGUGACUAUCAAAAUAAUUAUGUAGAUCAAAUAGUGGCGAAGCGUGCAAGUAUGCAACCACCUCUGUGUCCUCAUGUGUUGCAGCUGGAUGAUGUUACCACAAGAUGAAUGUAGAGUAGGACUUAUGAUCUGCAUUCAGUACAAACUUAACUCAAAUCUAGAUCAUAAAAUCAAUUUAUGAACAGACUAGCUAUUGUCCUUUCAUAGAAAAUAGCCGUUAACAUGGAGAUGCAGGAAAUACAAAAUUAUCAGGUUCGCAACAACAGUAUGUUUAUUUGUUUCGUCAAAGAGAUUGUGUAAUCUUUCUAAUCUAAUAUAAACUAUAUCACUCAAACGAUAGGACUAUUUGCACCUUAAAUUCAAACAAACUGAUAAGAGAAAUGCAUUCUGACAAGAAUCAUUAAUAAACUUAAAACAGUUGAAUAUCUUAUGAGAUCUAAAGGAUGGUCCACUCUAUUGAAUCAACAAAACAUGGUGACGGACUGUUGACUGCUGCUUGAGCCAUAGGGCACAUCAUGAGAGUGUAACAGCUUCUUCAUGCUCCUAUAUGUCACUUGUCACCUGCAAACGCCCACGAAACUGACACACACAUAAAAAGAAAUAUUACUACCAAUGUUUUAGCCGAAGAAUAUCAAGUUAUAAGCCAAUAACUAAUACAAAUUUAUUUUUUUUCAUUUGGACUAAACAAAAAUGAUAAGCUGGCUAAUCAUUGCCAUAUAACACAAAACUAGCCGAAGAAUAUCAGGUUA